UACAGAGGUCCCGAGCGUUGUUCGGAUUCACUGGGCGUAAGGGGUGCGUAGGUGGUUGGGUAAGUUUGAUGUGAAAGCUCAGGGCUUAACCCUGAAAUGGCAUUGAAUACUACUUAACUGGAGGUUUGGAGGGGGGACUGGAAUUCUUGGUGUAGCAGUGAAAUGCGUAGAUAUCAAGAGGAACACCAGUGGCGAAGGCGAGUCCCUGGACAACACCUGACACUGAGGCACGAAAGCUAGGGGAGCAAACAGGA
rnacentral:rRNA from 1 species